rnacentral:rRNA from 1 species
AACGUGGCGAACGGGUGAGUAAUGGAUAGACAACCUGCCCUCAACACCGGGGUGAUCCAUCGAAAGGUGGGGUAAUACCGGAUGGUAUAAUUUCUUUUCGAAGUUAUUAUUAAAGGUGGCUUCGGCUUCCGGUUGAGGAGGGGUCUAUCUCCUAUUAGCUUGUUGGUGAGGUAACGGCUCACCAAUGCCGAGAUGGGUAGGGGGCCUUAGCGGGUGGCCCUCCACACUGGGACUGAGACACUGCCCAGGUUCCUACGGGAGGCUGUAAUCGAGAAUCCUCCGCAAUGGGCGAAAGCCUGACGGGGUGACGCCGCGUGACUGAUGAAGGCCCUUACGGGUCGUAAAAGUCUUACAGGGAGUAUGAAAAAUAUUUUGGCUAAUAUCCACUAUAUUUGACGUCAAUCCCAGAUGAAGUCACGGCUAAAUAUGUGCCAGCAGCCGCGGUAAGUCAUAUGUGGCAAGCGUUGUUCGGAAUCACUGGGCAUAAAGAGCACGUAGGUGGUGAAGUAAGUUAACUGUGAAAUACCCCGGCUUAACUGGGGAAUUGCAGUUAAUACUGCUUUACUAGAGUACAGGAGGGGAGAGUGGAAUUCUAGGUGUAGCGGUGGAAUGCGAAGAUAUCUAGGAGAAGGCCGGUGGCGAAAGCGACUCUCUAGCCUGUUACUGACACUGAGGUGCGAAAGCGUAGGUAGCGAACGGGAUUAGAUACCCCGGUAGUCUACGCCGUAAACGAUGGGCAACUAGAUGGUGGGAACGCCGAUAGUUCUCUCCGUCGCAGCUAAUGCGUUAAGUGCCCCGCCUGGGGAGUAUGGCCGCAAGGUUAAAACUCAAAGGAAUGACGGGGGCCCACACCAAGCGGUGGAAGGAUGUGGCUUAAUUCGAGGAUACGCGUAGAACCUUAUCCAGGUCUUGACAUUCCCGGGAUUAAUCCCGUGAAAGCGGGAGGAUUC